rnacentral:rRNA from 1 species
ACAGGGAUUGCCUCAGUAACGGCGAGUGAAGCGGCAUCAGCUCAAAUUUGAAAUCUGGCUCUUUUAGAGUCCGAGUUGUAAUUUGCAGAGGGCGCUUUGGCAUAGGCAGCGAUUCAAGUUCCUUGGAACAGGACGUCACAGAGGGUGAGAAUCCCGUACGUGGUCGCUAGCUCUUGCCGUGUAAAGCCCCUUCGACGAGUCGAGUUGUUUGGGAAUGCAGCUCUAAAUGGGAGGUAAAUUUCUUCUAAAGCUAAAUAUUGGCCAGAGACCGAUAGCGCACAAGUAGAGUGAUCGAAAGAUGAAAAGCACUUUGGAAAGAGAGUUAAACAGCAUGUGAAAUUGUUGAAAGGGAAGCGCUUGCAGCCAGACUUGCCUGUAGUUGCUCAUCCGGGCUCUUGCCCGGUGCACUCUUCUGUAGGCAGGCCAGCAUCAGUUUGGGCGGUUGGAUAAAGGUCUCUGUCAUGUACCUCUCUUCGGGGAGGCCUUAUAGGGGAGGCGACAUACAACCAGCCUAGACUGAGGUCCGCGCAUUCGUGCUAGGAUGCUGGCGUAAUGGCUGUAAGCGGCCCGUCUUGAAACACGGACCAAGGAGUCUAACAUCUAUGCGAGUGUUUGGGUGUCAAGCCCGAGCGCGUAAUGAAAGUGAACGGAGGUGGGAACCCCUCGGGGUGCACCAUCGACCGAUCCUGAUGUCUUCGGAAGGAUUUGAGUAAGAGCAUGGCUGUUGGGACCCGAAAGAUGGUGAACUAUGCUUGAAUAGGGUGAAGCCAGAGGAAACUCUGGUGGAGGCUCGCAGCGGUUCUGACGUGCAAAUCGAUCGUCAAAUUUGGGCAUAGGGGCGAAAGACUAAUC